ACCGUUGAGGUUCUAAGUUCUAAGUCCUCAUUCUAAGAUCUUCUACCGUUGAGGUUCUAAGUCCUCAUUCUAAGAUCUUCUACCGUUGAGGUUCUAAGUUCUAAGUCCUCAUUCUAAGAUCUUCUACCGUUGAGGUUCUAAGUUCUAAGUCCUCAUUCUAAGAUCUUCUACCGUUGAGGUUCUAAGUCGUCGUUCUAAGAUCUUCUACCGUUGAGGUUCUCUCAUUCUAAGAUCUUCUACCGUUGAUGUUCUAAGUUCUAAGUCCUCAUUCUAAUGUCUUCUCCCGUUGAUGUUCUAAGUUCUAAGAUCUUCUACCGUUGAUGUUCUAAGUUCUAAGUCCUCAUUCUA
ensembl:lncRNA